rnacentral:rRNA from 1 species
AACGAACGCUGGCGGCAUGCCUAACACAUGCAAGUCGAACGAGACCUUCGGGUCUAGUGGCGCACGGGUGCGUAACGCGUGGGAAUCUGCCCUUGGGUUCGGAAUAACUCGCCGAAAGGUGUGCUAAUACCGGAUGAUGUCGUAAGACCAAAGAUUUAUCGCCCAGGGAUGAGCCCGCGUAAGAUUAGGUAGUUGGGGAGGUAACGGCUCACCAAGGCGACGAUCAGUAGCCGGUCUGAGAGGAUGGACGGCCACAUUGGGACUGAGACACGGCCCAG